AGAGUGACAGCCACAGAAUGACAGUGACCUAAAAGUGUUAAAUUAUAGUUAGUGGAAUUGGAGUAAUCUUGGGGACAAAUAUAAACUAGGAUAUUUAUCAGUGAGCUAAAAGGGGAAAUGCUAUUUUCAGUAUACUGCAAAUAAAAUGCUUAAUUAAAAUUCCCUAAAAAGGUAACACGUGUUCCUAAAAAAAAAUAUUACUUUGCUCCUGAAGAAAUUAAGACUGAAAAAAGAAAAAGACAGAAAAAGAAAAAAGGAAGAAGCUGGUAGUUAUAAAUUUUUUCUUACAUUUAUUUCUAAAAAGUAUUUUUAUUAAUUCUUGUACUUGAAAGAAAAAGAAAAAAGGAAGAAGCUGGUAGUUAUAAAUUUUUUCUUACAUUUAUUUCUAAAAAGUAUUUUUAUUAACUCUUGUACUUGAAUGAGAGAGAGAGAGAGCUGGGAUUAUAUUAAUUACCAUUUAAAUAUGCAGUUCCAGGUUUGUAGGCAUCUUUCUGAACCAGGAUGGGACAACCAUAGGAAAAAAUUCUAGCCGUAGGAAUUGUAUUUCAUGUGGUGAAACAUAAACUCAAUAAGUUUUCUAUUAUAAUAUGGUGAAAGUGGUUACCAAAGAAACAAAAGUUUCUUAUCACUCUGCCAGAGGCAAAUGUGGCAUAUUAAGCUCAAAAUGAAUUCUCCUCUUUUGAAUGCACACUUAUUAAUGUCNNNNNNNNNNNNNNNNNNNNNNNGGAAAGAUUAUCUGGAUACAUUUGAGUAAGCAUCCAUUGGGAUAUAGAGGCUAUCUAAUAUCUAUGGAUACUUUUUUGCUGAACUGGCCAAAAAUCAGUUUUUGCUCUUUUACCUUUUACUUGAGUUUGACUUGGGACUGAAUGACUUAUUUUUAUCUUAAAAGCAGACUUUUUUUUCUCUUAGUGAGCAUUAGGUUCCCUGGUGGCCUGAAAGAGUUAAUGCAAUUUCCAAGAGUGUCCAACUUACUUCCAGGGAGUAGUGCGUGCAUGUGAGAGUCUGGCUCCAGAAUAUUUGUUCACAUCCCAAAACCAAUUUGGCACAACUUAAAAUGUCUGCUAGGGAGAGGAUUCAGAGUGUUGUUAGGCCACGCAAUUAGUGCUUUAUUUCAUGAGCACCAAUCCACCCAAUAGUGUUUUGUUUUAAAGAAGAGCUUGAAAUUCACAAUAACGGGUUUCAUUUAUCAGAGCCAUAUGGGACUCACCAUCUUUGGAUAUAUUUAUAAGACUUUCACAAAGAAGACUCCUUAGGCAUCUCAGAUUUCACGGAUUGGAGGGCAAUCUGGAUGAAUAUCUUUUUGGAAAUGAUGAACUAUCUUUUUCAUAUGUAGUCUCCAAUUUCAGUAAUCCUUGAGAAGCUCAAAAACAGGAAAGAGUUAAGUAAACCUCAGCUUACUAGCUUUUAUUGGAAAACAAAGACUAUGUUUCUCAGAUCUGGAUCAAAUGCCAAGUGUACCUUUGAUGUUGAAAUUUGGCCACCUAAUCUUUGCAGUUUGUGAUGUAGCAUUUUUGAGAGGGAAGGUGGGUUCUAAGUCUCAACCUGUUUUUGUACUUUUUGCUAGUUCUCUCAAGGUCAUAUGUCAAUGGAUCAUUGCGAAGCUGUCUGCAGCACAGAAGACUGAUAAUAGAUGUGGUUCUUUUGAUGUUUACCCAAGAUUAUUUAUUUCCUGCCUCCUCCUUUUCCAUACUUCUCUCAUCUUUAGGAGUCUAUCUUAAUGCAAUAUAUUCUUUAAAGUAUCAUUGUAAGUUGUUUUUUUUUUUUUUAUAAAUCUCACAUUUCCUCACUGAUCUAUAAAUUUAGAGGUUUAAAAAUAAAAAUCAAAUUGAUCUUCAUUUGGCAGUGGUUGCACAUACUUUAAUUUUUGGUUCUCAGAUUAUGUUAGGCUAUUAAUGAUCUAUAAACAAAUAUCUAAGUGUUUACUAAUUGAAAACUAAUAUAUUUUUAAAGCAUAGAGUGCUAUUGUGAUAUGACAGGCAACCACUAUUUUUUUAGGCUUUCAAAUUUUUGUUUCCUCAGCUCUGUAGUCUUUCUUGUAAGGGCCAUGUUUUAAUUUUGUUUGAUAAA
ensembl:lncRNA